rnacentral:rRNA from 1 species
CACGUAGGGUGCGAGCGUUGUCCGGAAUUAUUGGGCGUAAAGAGCUCGUAGGCGGUGUGUCGCGUCGGCCGUGAAAACCUGCAGCUUAACUGUGGGCGUGCGGUCGAUACGGGCAUCACUGGAGUUCGGCGGGGGAGACUGGAAUUCCUGGUGUAGCGGUGAAAUGCGCAGAUAUCAGGAGGAACACCGGUGGCGAAGGCGGGUCUCUGGGCCGUAACUGACGCUGAGGAGCGAAAGCGUGGGGAGCGAACAGG